UUCAAAAGUUAUGGGCCCUUCACCACUGGAGACUUUUAAGAAGAGACUGGAUGGUCACUUUGGAAUGGUACAGGGUCUCGUGCUUUGCAGGGGGACUAGAAGACCAUGAAACUCUCCCAACUCUAUUCUGAUUGAUUGCUGUGUGCCCCUCUGGAAGGAGCGUCACGUGGCGGAAAACUGGGCACUGUAGUCAAUCCACAGAAUGCAGCGGAGGAGGCUGCCCGACUUCCUUCCAUUGAAUCCAUCGGAGUUUAUUUCCGAGCUGACUUUAUGCAAGCGUCCAUUCUUAAGCGAAGCGGAGAGCAAACGCUGGGUUUGCAAGAAAUGGGGAUAUUCCAUGAUACGUCAGGCUUGUCCAAAGUGGCGUUUCUUGCUUCUCGGUGCCUCGGGCGCCAGAAAAUGACGCCGUAGCCACAGCUUUCACUCAAACACACACAAACAGCCCUCCUUUUCCCUUUCCCAAACAGCCCUGCGCUGCCCCCUAACCUGUGAGUCUCAGGAAGCCGCCGACGCUCUCCGGCAGCGGUAGGCGCUUGAGGAUGUCUUUCGGAGCAUUGCCAUGCAGAUAUGUUUUGUUACAUAAGUCCUUCUUAUUUUAGGUUCAUUCCCAGGAAUGAAGAAUCCAUAUAUAGGGAUGGCCAAAUUUCCUCAUCUGUAGUGAUGGGCUAUUGGAUAUUGCAUAUGAGCAUUGUAUUUAAAGGGCAGAAGAUAGAACGAUAACUAAAAUGAAUGGAGCAUGCCUAUUUUCAUCUGUCUAUCCAUCCACAGGCUACCAUGGGAAAAAGACUGCUGCUGCUGGAAGUCUAGAUUUAAACUAAAGCUUGCAUUUUUGCCGGACCCAUUCUAGACAACAACAAACCAAAAUAUGGGUCUGCCUCCAUAUUUGGAACUCUCAUAUAUAGUCAUAACAAAAAUUUACUUCAAAUGUUACACUAAAUAUAUCUGAAACGGGAAGUAAUAUUAAAGAUUGCCAAUUAAAAAGAACCUGGAAGGUUGUUAUGACUUAACAAUCUAACCUGCUACUGCAGUCAAGAAAUCCACAAUAGCAUUUAAGAUAAUAUCUAUUUUUUUUUUGUUAAAAUAACUCCAGUAAGAGCCUUAACCUUAUUUGUUUGCAUUGGUUAUCAAAUUACCAUAUUGUUAAAAAAAUGUCUCUUAAA